UAUAUAUAUGUGUGUGUGUGUGUGUGUGUGUGUGUGUACACACACACACACACACACACAUAUAUACACA